AGUGAACGCUGGCGGUAGGCCUAACACAUGCAAGUCGAACGGCAGCACAGUAAGAGCUUGCUCUUGCGGGUGGCGAGUGGCGGACGGGUGAGGAAUACAUCGGAAUCUACUUUUUCGUGGGGGAUAACGUAGGGAAACUUACGCUAAUACCGCAUACGACCUACGGGUGAAAGCAGGGGAUCUUCGGACCUUGCGCGAUUGAAUGAGCCGAUGUCGGAUUAGCUAGUUGGCGGGGUAAAGGCCCACCAAGGCGACGAUCCGUAGCUGGUCUGAGAGGAUGAUCAGCCACACUGGAACUUAGACACGGUCCAGACUCCUACGGGAGGCAGCAGUGGGGAAUAUUGGACCAUGGGCGCAAGCCUUAUCCAGCCAUUCCGCGUUGGUGAAGAAGGCCUUCGGGUUUUAAAGCCCUUUUUUUUGGAAAGAAAAGCAGCAAGUUAAUACCCCGCUGUUCUGACGGUACCCAAAGAAUAAGCACCGGCUAACUUCGUG
rnacentral:rRNA from 1 species